ACUUCGACCUCAGAUCGAGUGCGACUACCCGCUGAACUUAAGCAUAUCAGUAAGCGGAGGAAAAUAAACUAACAAGGAUUCCCUGAGUAACUGCGAGUGAAAAGGGAAAAGCCCAACACCGAAUCCCUCAGCGUUAACGUUGACGGGAAGUGUGGUGUAUCGUGAGGUAUCUGUGCGCUGAAUUGCUACCAAAGUCCUCUUGACUGGGGCUCGAUCGCCCAAAGCGGGUGUCAGGCCUUUAUGGUUGUGAUGAGGCGUACAUCUUAUCGCACGAAGAGUCGGGUUGUUUGUGAGUACAACCCAAAUUAGGUGGUAAACUCCAUCUAAGGCUAAAUAUGAGUACGAGACCGAUAGCGAACAAGUACCGUGAGGGAAAGUUGCAAAGAACUUUGAAGAGAGAGUUCAAGAGUACGUGAAACCGCCACGAGGGACGCGGGUGAAGUCACAUGGUCGCUGAACAGGAUCAGUGCUAGAGCCGAGGCGCUGGGGGCUUAAUCGCGAUGUACUGCGAGGUACGUUGGGUUAGGUUUUCAGUGUUUCUAUCACCUUGGUUCUGGUGCGCAUUUUUGUUCACGCGAUGAGCCACGAACAGUUGUUUGGCAUCUAGAAACGGUAAAUGAAGGUAACUGUGCUAUCUUGGUCUGCAAGUGUGCCGCAGUGAUGUCAUGAACCGUGAUAGAUUGUUGAACGACUGAGGACAGCAGCUCUCGACUGAAGCGGCACAGGCCGUUGCGGGGCAUGCUACUUGUUCGGGUUGAUGAUCGAUUGUUUGGACUGGUUCUGCAGUACUUACCUUCGAUUGUUGACUGUCAGGACGAGUGCCUUGCCAGAGGGCAGUUCUGUAUCGCUGUUCUGUGGCGCGUUGGCCACUCACCCGUCCCGUCUUGAAACACGGACCAAGGAGUUCAGUAUGCAGCCGAGUCUGAGGGUUAAGCAAAACCCGAAGGCGCAGUAAAAGCAAAGAUUGCUCCUCGUGAGCGAUUAUGAUGUGAUCCCGACUCAGCGGUAGCUGUUCGGGCGCAACAUCGUCUCGUCGUAUCUCCUUGUGAGUGCGGCGAAGAUUGAGGCUGCAUACUGAGACCCGAAAGAUGGUGAACUAUGCCAGAGUAGGGUGAAGCCAGAGGAAACUCUGGUGGAAGCCCGAAGCGAUUCUGACGUGCAAAUCGAUCGUCUGACUUUGGUAUAGGGGCGAAAGACCAAUCGAACCAUCUAGUAGCUGGUUCCCUCCGAAGUUUCCCUCAGGAUAGCUGGCGCUCGUUUGGAGGCAGUUGUACCCGGUAAAGCGAAUGAUUAGAGUGUUCUGGGUCGAAACGACCUAAACCUAUUCUCAAACUGUAAAUGGGUACGAAGGUUGGCUCUCUCGAUUGGAGUCGAUCUCUGCUAACGAAUGUUUGUAGUGCCAAGUGGGCCACUUUUGGUAAGCAGAACUGGCGCUGUGGGAUGAACCAAACGUCUGGUUAAGGUGCCAAAUACUGACGCGAAUAAGAUACCACAAAAGGUGUUGGUUGAUAUAGACAGCAGGACGGUGGUCAUGGAAGUCGACAUCCGCUAAGGAGUGUGUAACAACUCACCUGCCGAAUCAACCAGCCCUGAAAAUGGAUAGCGCUCUAGCGUCGGACCUAUACCGGACCGUCAUAGGACUAAAUUAGCCCAUGACGAGUAGGAGGGCGCUGUGGUGAACGUCGAAGCCCAGGGCGUGAGCCCGGGUGGAGUCGCCACAGGUGCAGAUCUUGGUGGUAGUAGCAAGUAUUCAAGUGAGAUCCUUGAAGACUGAUGUGUGGAGAAGGGUUCCAUGUGAACAGCAGUUGAACAUGGGUCAGUCGAUCCUAAUUGAUAGGACAAAUCCGUUCUGAAUUAAGGACGAUGCCAAUGGCGCGUCCGUCUCUAUCGAAAGGGAAUCCGGUUAAUAUUCCGGAACCAGUCACGGAGAUAGUCCUCGCAAGGGGACAAGUGCGGUAACGCAAGCCCACUUGGAGAAGGUGGCAUAACACCCUGGAAGAGUUAUCUCUUCUUUGUUAGGAUACGUGUCCCAUGGAAUCGGCUUGACCGGAGAUAUGGGCGUUAGUAUCCGUAAAGCAUCGCGAUUUUCGCGGUGUCAGGUGCUGUUAAGUCACUCCGAGAAAAUCCGAGAGGGGCAUAAUGAUUUUCGUGACUGAUCGUACCCAUAUCCGCAGCAGGUCUCCAAGGUGAACAGCCUCUAGUCUCUAGAACAAUGUAGGUAAGGGAAGUCGGCAAAUCUGAUCCGUAACUUCGGGACAAGGAUUGGCUCUGAGGACUGGGUCGAUCGGGCUGGUGCAUUAAGCUGGCGGGGAAGCGGAUAGCGCUGACUGGUCGGCUGCCGGCAACGGUGGUCUGGCUGUGUUGACGUUGUCCUGCGACCUCUCGGUGGCGUGUAUCAGCUAUGCGGUUGCUGUUUCUGUGCAGUGAUUCGCGUCGGUCGGCGAGAAACAGUCGACUCAGAACUGGCAAGGACCAGGGGAAUCCGACUGUCUAAUUAAAACAAAGCAUUGCGAUGGCCGUUGUUGGUGCUUACGCAAUGUGAUUUCUGCCCAGUGCCAUGAAUGUCAAAGUGAAGAAAUUCAACGAAGCGCUGGUAAACGGCGGGAGUAACUAUGACUCUCUUAAGGUAGCCAAAUGCCUCGUCAUCUAAUUAGUGACGCGCAUGAAUGGAUC
rnacentral:rRNA from 1 species